rnacentral:rRNA from 1 species
UACGGGGGGGGCAAGCGUUGUUCGGAAUUACUGGGCGUAAAGGGCUCGUAGGCGGCCAACUAAGUCAGACGUGAAAUCCCUCGGCUUAACCGGGGAACUGCGUCUGAUACUGGAUGGCUCGAGAUUGGGAGAGGGAUGCGGAAUUCCAGGUGUAGCGGUGAAAUGCGUAGAUAUCUGGAGGAACACCGGUGGCGAAGGCGGCAUCCUGGAC